AGCAGCCGCGGUAAUUCCAGCUCCAAUAGCGUAUAUUAAAGUUGUUGCAGUUAAAAAGCUCGUAGUUGAAUUUCGGGGUUAGUAGGUUGGUCAUGCCUCCGGUAUGUACUGGUCUCACUGAUUCCUCCUUCCUGAUGAACCGUAAUGCCAUUAAUUUGGUGUUGCGGGGAAUUUGGACUGUUACUUUGAAAAAUUAGAGUGUUUAAAGCAAGCUAACGCUUGAAUACAUUAGCAUGGAAUAAUGAAAUAGGACGUUCGAUCCUAUUUUGUUGGUUUCUAGGAUUGACGUAAUGAUUAAUAGGGAUAGUUGGGGGCAUUAGUAUUCAAUUGUCAGAGGUGAAAUUCUUGGAUUUAUUGAAGACUAACUACUGCGAAAGCAUUUGCCAGGAUGUUUUCAUUAAUCAAGAACGAAAGUUAGGGGAUCGAAGACGAUCAGAUACCGUCGUAGUC
rnacentral:rRNA from 1 species